UACAGCCUGCAACACAUGAUUACUGCUUGUUCAUUCCUCCUCCCCUCCAUGUUUGUUGCUGUCUGAAUUUCAUGCAUCCUUCCCCUGUUGUUUAAGUUGUAUUGUAAGUCUAGGAUCAUGUGAAACUCCUUAUCUUGCUCUUUUUGGGUAGGAAACUGUUUGGUCUAUGUAAGUGUUGAUUCCUUUAAGAUAGUGAAAGUUUGAAGCAAUCCUUUCUUUGUCUGGAUUUCUCAAAUGAAUAUGCUCCAGUAAGCACUUGGCAUAAAAUAUCAUGUUUUCUCUUCCUUGCUAUUAGAACUAAGUUUUCUGUUGUGGGUGCAAGCUCAAGCAUAUACUGUUUAGAUAUCUAGCUGAAUCUUAUUAUUUGAUUAAUCUACCUUUCUAAUAUUCUAGUGAGUUUUGUCAACUUAAGUUUGGCCUUCGUUAUCAAAAACAGGAGACUGAUAGGAUGUGAUUUAAGCCUGCUUGUUGUCUUAACAGUACAUCCUAGUCAUUGCACUUAUGGAUCAAUUUGAGUUUGGUUGUAAAAAAAAAAAGUGGUAAAAUAAUUUUCUCAAAGGAGCUUAUUGUAUGAUGUUCCAGAUGUAGAAGGCUUCAAGGAUAGCCUGAUGCUCACUAUGAUAACCAUAGUUCUAAUUAAUCCAUGUUCAAAGAAUUGUCAAUACUGGUUGUGGAAUGUUGGUUUUCUGGUUCCUUAAUAAAAGCCUGUUGGAUCAUUUAUUUUUGCUUAUGAGGUUCGCAAGUGCAAAGGUGUCGUUUGGGUCUUUGGCAUGUUUCCAACUUGGCUAAUCUCUGGUAAAGAGUGCAAUUUUUUGUGAGGAAACUCAUGUUUUUUCUUGGAAUGUAACUAAGAGGAAUAUGUUAGAAAUACACUUGGAUGUAUGUAUUUUAAAACUAUAAAUGAACCACCAAGCUAAUUAGCAUACUUUGCAGUAAAAGUUCAUACGUUCAGAUCUGGUGUUUGCUGAAAACUGCUGGCUGAUUAGUUUAAGAUAAUAUUGACCUUUCUUUUAUUAUUAAAGCACUACUCUAAGAAGUGUUUGAUGCCAUUAUUGGGUAAUGACUGUAUUUUGGUAGAAUUGUAGAGAGAUAAGAAUGCCAACUUGUUCUCUUGGAAUCUUAAGUGUUGUUUCCAAAGGAGAGUUUAGGAAUUUCAAACCAUUUUAGAUCUUCUCUUUUGGGAUUAAAGAAGGAUUUUAAAACAGUAGUAUUGAAUCUGAUUGGAAAUAUGCUAUCCCUAUUUUUUUGAAAACUUGCAUUAGUUUACAUAUUGCAUUGGUUUUUAUUUCUUAUUUUU